rnacentral:rRNA from 1 species
AUUGAACGCUGGCGGCAGGCCUAACACAUGCAAGUCGAACGGUAACAGGAAGCAGCUUGCUGCUUUGCUGACGAGUGGCGGACGGGUGAGUAAUGUCUGGGAAACUGCCCGAUGGAGGGGGAUAACUACUGGAAACGGUAGCUAAUACCGCAUAACGUCGCAAGACCAAAGAGGGGGACCUUAGGGCCUCUUGCCAUCGGAUGUGCCCAGAUGGGAUUAGCUAGUAGGUGGGGUAACGGCUCACCUAGGCGACGAUCCCUAGCUGGUCUGAGAGGAUGACCAGCCACACUGGAACCGAGACACGGUCCAGACUCCUACGGGAGGCAGCAGUGGGGAAUAUUGCACAAUGGGCGCAAGCCUGAUGCAGCCAUGCCGCGUGUAUGAAGAAGGCCUUCGGGUUGUAAAGUACUUUCAGCGGGGAGGAAGGGAGUAAAGUUAAUACCUUUGCUCAUUGACGUUACCCGCAGAAGAAGCACCGGCUAACUCCGUG